CAAGGGAUCCUCUCCAAAUUACCGCCGCCCCGGGUCCCGCUAGGAGCGCUGCGCCCCGACGCCCGGCAAAGCGGCCGCCCCGGGAGCGGGAACGGGAGGAGGGCGGCGAGGCGCUUGGGUGGCUUCAUUUCCCCACCCCCCCCGUCCCGCUGUCUUAGCCCCAAGGGCCCUGCCUCGGCCGGGUUUGCUCGGCCGCCCUCGGGGCUUGGCGGAGGCUUAAAAGGCGCUGGUGUAGCCGCUGGAGCGCGGCUGAGGUGCUCCUGUGAGAAAAGCUCCAACCAGCGUGAGACUUGCGCUUAAAAGUUAAUCCCUGCAGCGCUCCGACGGCGCUGGAGCUCAUCCUGCCUCUUGCUUACAGGUGAUUCAGUCCCUCGCUUUGCCUAUUCUUAAUAUUGGAGUAAUUGCUGUGAUACCGCCCAGCAACAGACCGCUCUUCACCCCCAGGCGCUUCACGCGGGGACCUCAUCCUGGCCAUAGGUGCUGUUGCAGUUGCUCCUCAUUUACGCGGGUAGACCUAUUAAAGAGCACGAGGCUUCUUGCGCGAUCAGAUAUAUCGUAAUGAAGUCUCGCCCCUGUGGCCCUAUGAAACGAACUCCCUUCGAGUCUGCAAGCGUCUGCUCAGCAGUGGAUCUGGCUGGACGUUUGCAGCCCGCUUGAGGAACGGUAAGUCUCUCUUGCCUACUACGUUUGCAGGAAUCUAAAUUUACAGUACUCGGACGAGCGGAGCGCAAGUAGGAUUGAACUGAAACUGAUGCUUUAAGAAGUACUUUGGCUUUUACCCAGUCAUCGUUCCUGGAAGGAGAUAUGAAGUAACAAGUGCAAGAUGUUUCUACAUGGCAAAAUAUUACAAUACACCUGCACUGGCAUAAUUACGUCUCUGUAUUUAUGCCAGUAAGUUUUCACGUGUAUAUGAAGUUCGAGGUAUGGUAUUAAUCUCAUUUUAAAACCCAGCAGAACUGGGGCCCGGAGAAGUUAAGGCCCUGAGAGUUUUACCAGAUGAACAGUAGUCCUGGACUCACCCACCUGCCCACCCAGGUGCAUUACAACUCUGAAGACACAGAACUGGAAUGGCUUGCCCCAGGUCACAGAAGACGCUGACAUAAGGACUUUGCUCGAGGAAUAUUACAUUUCUGGUAGAGAAGGGAGGUUGCACUGUGUUCUGAUGGCUAAUCGCAUGCUGCCACGAAGCACAGUAUUGCUGCCCGCUGUACUGCACCAGUACUGUACUUUCUAGAGAAUGAAAUUCUCCCUUUGGAUCUUGCCUGCAUCCAUGUAGAAGCUUUUGAAGGUACUUUCACUUUCUCCUGGCUAUCACCUCAGCAAGAGAUAAGAGACUCCAGACAAGGAUCAAACGUUCAGUAUGGACAUCACCACAGAAGGCCCCCAGAAAACUGCAAACAGCAAGAGGUAGCAAUGCUGCCUUACUCCAGCUGAAAACCUGCAAUGUGAAAGUGGCCUUACAGUCAAUGCACAGUUGGUCCAGCUUCUGCAAGGUCCAGUCACCCAGUACAUGAAUGCUACAGCUUGGGGAACCCUACAGCUCCCCCACCCUGCUCAUGUGCCUAAGGACUUCAGCACCUAGAAGACAGCACUGGUAGACUAUAUCACCCUGGUUAAGCAAAGCAUACGCUUGUCAGGGAGCGACCAGAUGGAGGAUUACAACAAUUUAUGGCCUGCAGUUAGACAGGCUUGCACUGUGAUCUCAUCAAAUCUUGAACAAAAUAGGUCAAGCUUGGUCAGUGUUCAGAUGACAUACACUCUAGGGAAAACACAGAUACUGUAAGAAACAGUUUAGGAUUUGGAUUUAGGAUUCGGCUGACAAAACUGCUAAGGCACUGUCCCAAUUUUAGGCUCGAUUCCUAGAUGUCUGAGGUACCCAAAACAGGUCCCUGGUCUGUCAUGUAGAAGGGCCACUGUGCUGCUGGAAGCAUAUUUCUCAUUUUUCAGAUGAGAAAUAAAAUUAUAGUCAUGCCUUGUGAUUAAUUAAAUAAAUCAUUCUUGUCUUUGCUUGUGGACAUGGCGUUUCCAGAGGGCAACAUAAAUGGAGAAAGGGAGCUUGUUUGGUUUCUGUGAUCCUGGUACAACCUGCUAGCCCUCUCUCUGCAAAAUCCCAUUUUAAAGCUUUUCAAUACCAGGGCACCAAAAGCAAGAAAUUUAAAUUCCUUUAAGACUGCAAACAUCAUGAGAACUUGCUAGCAAGACAUAUAGAAAGCAAAGCAAAUUAUAUAAUCUAUCACUUUACAGAUACAUUCCUUUUCCUUUACAUUCACAUUUCCCUUCCAUUCACACUCCCACAUACCAACCUUUAAUUCAAGUCAUUUCCCCAGAUGCUGUUCAUUCAUAUGUUGAUUUUAAGCUCCUUGGUUCAAAUCCUGUGUCAUUUUCUUUGCCUGCAAAACACAGUAUGCAUGUAGAAUUUUAUGUGUAACUAUCAUGCUCAAAAACCCCAUGCAAAUUCGAUCUCCAAAUAAUUAAAGACAAUGACAACUAUGCUUCUUGGGAAAUUAAAUACUGAGAAUGUAAUUAAUCAAACUGAAAUUUAGCCAGGACACCGAAAUGACACCACUGGCUCAAGAGGAAUGUGCUCUUGAGGAUUCUGGUAAUUGCAAGUGGUGAGGACUCUGCUCUCCUAUCUCCCUCACAGUAUAACACCUCCUGCAUGCUGUGUGGUGCAGGAUGCUGCAGAGUGAACACUAAGGCCAAAAUGAAUUUAUGAACCUCGCAUUCUCUCUGUGAUUGUAUUGCUCAGAUGCAUCAGUCUAUCAGUCUACAAAAGAAUUAAUUUCUAGAUUUUUUUAGGCUGAAAAGCAUCCUCAUAUUAUGUGCUUUGUUUUGAUUUUUGUUUUUCUUUGCCUUAUGGUCAUUCAUCUUUGAUGAAAGUGAAUCAGAGAAGCAAUACCUGCCUUAUCGUUGAUUUGUGGUGUAUAAUCGUGUUAAAGACAGAUCACUGGUCUCCUCCUUACUACAGUGCCAUUUAUAACAGACAAUUAUGCCUGCAUGGUGCAGUUGUCAUGAUCUAGUGAUUGUAAAUGCUUGUUAUCAGUGUGGAGCCAGCUAAAUGCUGUGUGUUUCUCUUUAAAGGUGAUUUGAUUUUCCAGAGCUGUCUGUCAUCCUUGAAGUUUUCUCUAGUGCAGCUCAGUUCUCAAUCUACACACAAGUGAUGUCCUUCUGAUGUGUAGCAUGUGGGGCAGAAUCUGCGUACUGCUCCCACCUACUCCAGGCGAGGACUACAGUCCAGAGAAAAGAACAGCAGCGUGUCUACACUGGGAAAUCUCCAGACAUUGCGCUGCAUUGAAAGGAAGCCCUACUAAUGGCAGUGACAAUGUGCAAAUGCCAAAAUAAAGGGUAAGGGGGGGGGGGUGUGUGUGAAUACAGUGGCACUGUCUACAAAAAGGAAAUGUACCAAAACACUCUAGUUGGUUUUAAAAUUAGCUGGAGAAGAUGCAGAGGGGUCUAAGUCUUAAUGACCUCACUUCUACAAUAUGCCACUAAUUAGCUCUGCGAUGAAUAACUGGGAACAAAAUAAGGAGUGACAGACUAGGUCAGCCAGGGGUUUGCCAAGCCCUUGUCUCAUCUUUCCUACUGGGGCCUGUAUGUGAUGAUUUUUCAUUCUGUCUACACUAUCUUUUAAUAGUAAUCAGGACUGGAAUUGCAUUGUGUUAUACACUAUACAAACAUACACCAAAAUACUGCACUUGCUCUCUGAUCCUGUAAGGCAUGGGAAGAGCAGCUCCUCCCCAGCUGAUAUUUGUGCAGCUCCUUCUGGUGGGCAUGCACAUGCCUUCAUUUUUUCUC